GGCGUUUAAUUCGCUAUCAAUUUGAGGAUGAUGAUGGCUUAGCAAGAAUAGAAAGCGCUUAUGUGACC
rfam:Rotavirus A strain RVA/Simian-tc/ZAF/SA11-H96/1958/G3P5B[2] viroplasm RNA-binding protein NSP2 (NSP2) gene, complete cds.